rnacentral:rRNA from 1 species
GACGAACGCUGGCGGCGUGCUUAACACAUGCAAGUCGAACGGAAAGGCCCCUUUGGGGGUACUCGAGUGGCGAACGGGUGAGUAACACGUGCGUAACCUGCCCUUGACUUCGGGAUAACUUCAGGAAACUGGGGCUAAUACCGGAUAGGAAUCCUUGCUGCAUGGUGGGGGUUGGAAAGCUUCGGCGGUUUUGGCUGGGCUCGCGGCUUAUCGGCUUGUUGGUGGGGUAGUGGCUUACCAAGGCUUGGUCGGGUAGCCGGCCUGAGAGGGCGACCGGCCACCUUGGGACUGAGAGACGGCCCAGACACCUACGGGAGGGAGCAGUGGGGAAUAUUGCACAAUGGGCGGAAGCCGGGUGCAGCAACGCCUCGUGCGGGAUGACGGCCUUCUGGGUGUAAACCGCUUUCAGCAGGGGCGAAGCUUGUGGUGACGGUACCUGCAGAAGAAGCACCGGCUAACUACGUG